UCAUUGCGACUGCUCUUCUAAGUGUGGUUU
rnacentral:piRNA from 1 species